rnacentral:rRNA from 1 species
GCAUAUCAAUAAGCGGAGGAAAAGAAACUAACUAGGAUUCCCUUAGUAACGGCGAGUGAACCGGGAUGAGCUCAAAUUUAAAAUCUGGCGUCUUUCAGGCGUCCGAGUUGUAAUCUAUAGAGGCGUUUUCCGCGCCGGACCGCGUCCAAGUCUCUUGGAAUAGAGUAUCAAAGAGGGUGACAAUCCCGUACUUGACGCGACAACCGGUGCUCUGUGAUACGUUCUCAAUGAGUCGAGUUGUUUGGGAAUGCAGCUCUAAAUGGGUGGUAAAUUCCAUCUAAGGCUAAAUAUUGGCGAGAGACCGAUAGCGAACAAGUACCGUGAGGGAAAGAUGAAAAGCACUUUGGAAAGAGAGUUAAACAGCACGUGAAAUUGUUAAAAGGGAAACGAUUGAAGUCAGUCGUGUGAAAGGUAUUCAGCCGUCUCUGGCGGUGUAUUUGCCUUUCACGGGUCAACACCAGUUUGAUCCGAUAGAAAAAGGCAGGAGGAAGGUGGCACCCUCGGGUGUGUUAUAGCCUCUUGUCAUAUGUGCCGGACCAGACUGAGGAACGCAGCUUGCCGCAAGGCCGGGGUUCGCCCACGUACAAGCUUAGGAUGUUGACAUAAUGGCUUUAAACGACCCGUCUUGAAACACGGACC